rnacentral:rRNA from 1 species
UGCAGUCGAGCGGUAACAGGAAUUAGCUUGCUAAUUUGCUGACGAGCGGCGGACGGGUGAGUAAUGCCUAGGGAACUGCCCAGUCGAGGGGGAUAACAGUUGGAAACGACUGCUAAUACCGCAUACGCCCUACGGGGGAAAAGAGGGGACCUUCGGGCCUUCUGCGAUUGGAUGUACCUAGGUGGGAUUAGCUAGUUGGUGAGGUAAUGGCUCACCAAGGCGACGAUCCCUAGCUGUUCUGAGAGGAUGAUCAGCCACACUGGGACUGAGACACGGCCCAGACUCCUACGGGAGGCAGCAGUGGGGAAUAUUGCACAAUGGGCGCAAGCCUGAUGCAGCCAUGCCGCGUGUGUGAAGAAGGCCUUCGGGUUGUAAAGCACUUUCAGCGAGGAGGAAAGCUUAAGCGUUAAUAGCGUUUAGGUGUGACGUUACUCGCAGAAGAAGGACCGGCUAACUUCGUGCCAGCAGCCGCGGUAAUACGAGGGGUCCAAGCGUUAAUCGGAAUUACUGGGCGUAAAGCGUACGCAGGCGGUUUGUUAAGCGAGAUGUGAAAGCCCCGGGCUCAACCUGGGAAUUGCAUUUCGAACUGGCAAACUAGAGUCUUGUAGAGGGGGGUAGAAUUUCAGGUGUAGCGGUGAAAUGCGUAGAGAUCUGAA